GUCAUUGGCCAACCGCACGCUCCACGGGGGAGGGCGUCCGGGUGGGCUAAGCACAACCCUCUCACAUUGGUCCAGACCCCGUGCGGACGCAAAAGCUGCUCUAGGCUCCGGGGAAACUUUGGGGCUGCUGGCUGGCAACAGUGGACUAAUGUCCUCAUCAAGAAGGCUGCUGGCUGCAAGAGAAGUUAGGGGCUUCCGGGCCUAAAACAGUGGGAAGCAGUUGUGUGUAAAAGAAGCCAUGAUGGACCUACUAACUGGACGGGAGCAUAAUCAAGCCAAGAAUGGAGUCAUGUGAGGAGAAUUCUGAGCACUUGUGAGAACACUUCAAAGACAACACAAAUGUCUUGUGACCUCAAUGUCUUCAAAAUGCUGAAUUGUUCUUGGAAUGAAUUUUUUGUGCUCCUCCCAGGUGUCAUGGAUUCAAAAGGCUAAGAUCAAAAACACAAGUAACAGUCCAUGCUGGCAAGGCUUGGAAGAAGGGAAACACUCCUCCAUCGACGGUGGAAGCUCAAACUCAUACAGCCACCAUGGCAUCUAUAAGGUCUGGGUGGUAUUCCAAGGCAGAAAGCAAGCCUGACACUAGAAGAAUCCUGCCUGAGAUCAUGGGGCCCUCAGAGGAACAGAGCUGGAGACAGACGACACUCACAUGGGACUACUCAGGAGGACCUGGAUGAAGACCAAGUUCAAGUUAACCACCAGACCAUGGGGCCCAGACAGGGAGUUUAAUCAAGUACCAGAACAAGCCCGUAUUCAAAUGCGGAAGAGAGUGAGGUCUGGCCUGGGAGCCACGGCAGCAGCAAAGGGCAGCAGCAAAGACUCCUCCCCUCCUGCUCUGUAUAGAGCAGGUGUCUAUGCAGGACCUUUCUUCUUCCAUACAAGUCCCAACCAAGCCCUCAGUCUACUGGGUGGUUCUGUUCUUUGUCACCCAAUCUGCCACCCCCUGAAGAUUCGUCUGGAAAUGAUUCCCCAACAGAAUCCCUGACCAGUUCUCUGUCAAGUGGGAUAGUCAAGGCCAACGACCGCACCAAGGGAAGGCAAACAAACGAACAACCAGGAGCUGAGAGAACAACAGGGCAAUCAAACCACUUUUUGGUCCUUUCAUUAAAUGAAAGGAGAAAGACGAUGGCAUUCCUGUGAACCAGCCAGUCCUUGGCUUUGGAAAGGAAGCCUGUUCCAGGGUAGAACCUCUUCUUUCCUCCUCUUCUCCCUGUUCUAUUGCUUUUCUAAGAGGCACCUGAAAAGGCUAAUGCUCUUCCCAGGGUUCUGUUCCUCAAGGGCUAAGUGUGAGGGGCUUUUCUUUGAAGGAUGCUGACUACUUUUACUAUGAAUCCUCAAGCAGAUCCAGUCCUGCUAUCUCUGUGAAUAUGUGUUCACUUUUUACCUUUGGGAGUGUAAAAGGGAGUUGCUAAGCUGUAACCUAAUGGUUAUUCCUCUUCACCGGGGGAAACUAUGAAUUAGUCACAGCAUGGCUUUGGAAAUGGCAUCUUCUAGGAAGCCUCCUUAUAUCACAAAUGAGCCUCACAAGUUCCUAGUAUUAGGUACUGAGGAACUUAUUUAAAAUGUCGUAUUGCUUCCUCAGAAUAACCCUAUGGAGUGGUUGCUAUUAUUUUGCCUAAUUCAUGAAGGCUGAAACUGAAACUAGGCUGAGCUAAGCUACCAUACAGAAUUAGAGGUGGAGAAUGUUUCUGUCUUCAGGUUUCUGUUGCUGUGAAGAAACACCAUGACCACUGAAACUUUUUAUGUAGGAGAACAUUUCACUGGGGUUGGCUUACAGUUGGGAGUUUUAGCUGUUAUCAUGGCAGGAAGACCUGGAGAGGUAACCAAGAGUCAUUAGGCAGCAAAGAGGGGGAGGGAGGACUGAACUAGACUUGAGCAUUUGAAACCCAGAGCCCACCCUCCGUGACACAUUUCCUCUAACAAAGUCAUUGUACACCAACAAGGCCACAUGUCCUAAUCCUUUCAAACAAUGCCACUCCCUAUGAACCAGUGGGGGCCACUAUCAUUCAAACCACACAAUUUCUCAAAGACAGCCCAAGCUCCUGUGUCUGCUCUUCCUUGCCCUGCUCUGUCACCAUGAAUUCUCAUAAAGAGAUUUGUUUCCAGUGGGGGCUUGUGUGCUGGUCUUGAACAUUCUUACAGUGUACAUCAAUCAAUUUUCUUCUCAAUGUUCUGGUGCCCCUGGAGAGGGGAACAGAGGCUGGUGAGACUAAAGAGACUAGCAAAAGGUGCUCCAACUACAAGAGGAAGUAGGAUUAACCUGGGGGUAAAUGUCAAACGAAAACUUCCAUGCUGUCUUUGCUGUAGUGACUCAGAAUCCACCCUCCAGAGUCUCCAUAGAAAGAAGGAAUAAAUAGAAAAUACAUCAAAAGGACCAGCCCUUAGAAAUGCUAUUUGUGAUCACAUCAGAGACUUGGUAUCACUUCAGAUAUGUAUUAAAAUACCAUUCUGGAACUUCAAGGCCUUUACCUCCCUUCCCAGUGGUUUAAAACUCCAUUUUAUCGGAUUGUUCUGUGGAAACGUAAAGGAGAAAAGAAGCCACUGGGAAGAGAAAAAAUUGAUAUUCCUACCCCAAAGAGUCAGGCAGGCAGAAGGCAGGGCUGUCUACUGUUGGAGGAUAGUGGCACCUGACAUGAUUCUGUAUGACCAAUGAAUACAUUUUUUAACAUUUUUCUGUGUUCUAUUGAAAAUAGAUUUUUUUCAUACAGUAUAUUCUGGUUCUCCUCCCUCAACUUCAAGAUUUCCUCCACCUCCUAUCCUGUUAAAAUUUACACCCUUUCUGUCUCUCCUUAGAAAACAAAAAGAAAUU
rnacentral:sRNA from 1 species